rnacentral:rRNA from 1 species
UAAUACGUAGGGUCCGAGCGUUGUCCGGAAUUAUUGGGCGUAAAGAGCUCGUAGGCGGCGUGUCGCGUCUGCUGUGAAAGACCGGGGCUUAACUCCGGUUCUGCAGUGGAUACGGGCAUGCUAGAGGUAGGUAGGGGAGACUGGAAUUCCUGGUGAAGCGGUGAAAUGCGCAGAUAUCAGGAGGAACACCGGUGGCGAAGGCGGGUCUCUGGGCCUUACCUGACGCUGAGGCGCGAAAGCUAGGGGAGCGAACAGGA